UCAAUGUGUAAACCAAAAGUUUAAUCUACUCCAACUCCAACUCUAGAAAUGACUUAUAUCUACAUUCUUGUUGCAAACCAAACUUGGAGACUCUUUACCUCUCACCUUUGUUGAUCUCAACAAACUUAGCUUGUUCUUUAUCUCUUUGUCUAUGAACUCCAUCAGUUAUAGGAAGAGGCUGAUCUCCAUGCCUUAUCCUGUUUCUCUCCCUC
rnacentral:lncRNA from 1 species